CCCAACUCCGAGUAUAUAAGGACCUUUAGGAAAGUUGGAAGAACAGGUAAGAAUCCCAAGUGUUCACUUCCUUCCCCAGCACAGAAACUUGACCUCAACCCAUUAACAACAUGGCUAUGGAGGAGGAGGAAGAAGAAGAGGAAGAAGAUGAUGGUGGUGGAUGAAUUCAGUACUUGCAUACUAAGCUUAUAUGCUACUCUUCUCUCUCUGUUAUUGGAAGAGAGAGAAGUGGAGAAAAAGGCAAGUCAUAGAGGCAAAGGGAAGGCAAAGCCUUUCUUCCAGGUUUCAUUCAUGAAGCUGCAUCGCUGUCAUACCAGACAUGUUUAGCAGUUUCUAUCUAAAAUCAGUCUUUGUUUUGUUGAAUGUUGAAGGGGCCAUGGCGCUCAUUUAGUUUUUGUUUUCCCCUCUGUUCCUUCACCCACUCUUCACAUAGAUAAGUCGGUCAGUCAUUCCAAGUGUUUCACUCAGAAACCUUUGUAUUAAGAUGCAGACACUGACGUGUGGCGAGUAGCUUGAAAUUAGGGUUUGUAAGCUUCUGCUGCCUGUUUUUUUGGAAACCAUGAAUAAACUGUAUCGCUGAUGAGUGUUGACUGUUUUCCUACAGCUAAGAUUAUUCUGUUUUGGAUAAAAGCUUGCAUUUUUAACGUUAUACCCUUCUAUUCCCUCCUUGUAACAGGUCUGAAGGAAUUCUCUGUAGGUAAACUAUAAUAUUGAUCUUCAUAAGGUUUAUCACUUAAAACCGCUUCCUUGCAUAUACAUCAAGAAGAAAUACAGAGUUGCAACAAAUCUACAGAAACAAUCAAAUUAAAAGGGUUCGUUUUGACAAAUACAGGUUCGUAAAUGGUAAAUAGAAAGGAAAAAAAAUCAUGUAUCAAACAUCAAAGGGCAUGAUAUGACCCUGAUUUCGCACUCAACUUCUAGCUCAGUGCGACCUUUAGGCGAUCGAGAGGAGCGGUUGCAGUACGAGAAGCAGCUCCAGCUAUUCCCCCUGCAAUGAAGUAUUUGCUUUGGUUCACAUGCUUGCUGAUACCUUCUGGAAUGACAGCCUGUUCUCCAAUGUCUACAAGACCUUAAAGAGAUCCUUAGCAUACUUAUACUCAGACGGAAUCUGUAGGGCAGACAGGCCAGCCUCAAUCUGAACAUAAUCCAGAUACCCAUUAUUGGCAGCAUCGAAAAAAUUGAAGAGGCUACGAAUUCGAAGAUCUCUCUCGUCUUUGGUUUCACGUAAAGCAAGGAGGACAUGAUCAAUCGAAACCGAUCCCUUUUUCCUGACGGAAUUGCUACGACCACCGCCUACGCCGCCAUGAUCGGAAGCUUGGGCAACGGUGGAAUUCCCUAAAGCCUUGGAUUUCGCUUUCGCGUCCACAUUGGAAUAACCCACACGAUCGGCGUCCAUAGCCUGGCCAGCCCCAGACACUCUUUAUAUACUCUCAAUUUUGUAGAAAGAAACUCCCAAUAUAUUCUGAACUUGAACUCAAUUUCGAAUGCAACUAUCUCAGCUUAGUAGGGUCAAAAUGCACACGUCACAAAAAAAGACCUCUGAUAGACACCUGACUAGUGGCUAAACUUCCAUGUUCAAAUAUAUCUAGAAAUAUCAACAGAAAAUCCUGCCGAUGAUAGCGAUUGAAUUGAAGGCCAAAAUCUCGUCAAGACGGGAAGUUACCUGAAACAAAAACUUGCAAUUGGGGACAGUUUUAACUUCCGCUUCGAUAAAUAUCAGUAAUACUAGUAUCCAAUGAGCCAAUUUAACUAGCUUUCUCUUCUUCCCCUGCAAUUGUGGCUGCACAAGGAAGAAACUUUACAUUGUCUCCAGAAUCGAAGACCUUUCUUAAGGCUAAUCGUCAAGCAGAGUCUUGAAUUUGACAGGUUUUCCCACAACAAAGAAGGGUAAAAGAGAAAAAGCGGAAGAAUAAGGAAGAACGAAGAGCCGAUCUUAUUGGAUAUUCUUCCCCACAAGUGCAAAAAAACAAUCUGACCUUGAAUUCGUUGCACCUGUACAGUUGAACGUUGAUGGAUUUGCCGCUUCCUGUUUUCCACAACGAAUGAUUUACCGAACUAUCACCAUGUAAUAUUAUCAUGUGAGAUUUGGGUUGGGUUGAAUGGGCUUGGAUCUUUGGACGGCAGUACACCUUGUAUAGCUCAACAGUAUUGGAAAUUUGAAGUCCGAGUAAGACCAUGACUCGGAAGUUGAAGACUUCUAAUCUGAGUGAAGUUUGGAGAUUGUAUAUUAAUUUUCAAAUUUGGAAUGUGAUCAUUUCAAAAUCCCCAUUGUAUCUUUGGUCAAAAAAAGAAAAAAUCCUCAAUGUAUUUAUUCGUUAUUCAAGA